GCUUUUGUGGUGUAGUGAUCAGCACCCUCAGCUAGUAUUCGAGAGGUCCGUGGUUCGAAUCUCGGCGAGGGCA
rnacentral:tRNA from 1 species